UGGCCCACCAGCCAUAGACACACACUCACCUCCCCAACCCCGUCUUCCUCACCAGACGCGUGUUCGCAGUCGCCUCAAGCACUUAUGGAAGUUCUGGCCGCCGCCGCCGGCUCCUACUCGAGCAGUCAAAUCGCAUUUGCUGCUAAGGCUGCCCGAAACCCUAUGCACGCAUAUACAUCCUACCUAUAUCUUCAAUGGUUCAGACUCGGAAUCAAAGCAAGGCUGCCCGGAGAGAGAAACCAGAUCCAAGCGACGCCCGGCGAAGGCUGGCCGGAGGGAUUGGGCAGGCGCUGCGACCAGCUAAGGCCAGGAGAUUCAAACGACCCCGGAUUCAGCCAAGUAGUGUGAGCUCAUCCAGUUCUUUCACUCAGUUGAAGAUGCCCUUGAAGAAGAGAGUUCGAACAGAUGGGAAUCAUGAGCCACAUUUGGAAGAUUCAGGAAGUCUUGGUGUUCUGGUAUAGAGCCGGCCCCCGCCUACACAGCAGACAACUCAUAGGCUCCCUUGUCGACACAGGUCUUAGAAUGCAAGAUAUGAAGCGCGUGACGCGACCUCCUACCCGCAUGCAUAUACGGGUAACCCGACGGAUAAAAGUUUCACUUGGCGGGUGCGGGUAUGGAAUGGUAGUACCCGUCGGGUACUGACGUGGUGUUGCAAAAGGCAUAUGCCACGGGGUGGCUAAGAUCGGUGUUGGUGCAGCGCUCUGCAGAUUCGGCACCCGCAGGGAUUGCGCCGGAGCGCAGACACGUGAAGUACCCAGGUUUAGGGCCCUCCCGGAGGAGGUAAACCUUGUUUGAUGAAUUCACAAUCGAAUUCGAUGAAUAAGAAAUGAAUUCGUUGAAAAACAAUCGAAUUCGAUGA